AAGGCUCUGCAUUAGGGUGGGUGGGAUAAUAUAACAAUCUCCAUGUUGUUAUAGUAUUCCACCCUCCCUGAUGUUUCCUU
rnacentral:pre_miRNA from 12 species